GGGGAUUUAGUUCAGUGGUAGAACACUUGUCUAGCAAGCAUGAAGCCUUGGGUUCAGUCCUCAGCAACUCCC
rfam:Heterocephalus glaber contig32173, whole genome shotgun sequence.